UGUUAUGUACAGUUUCAAGAUCAGCUUGUUUACUACCAAAAAGAUAUUAAAGGGAAGUUGAGUUAUGGAUCUGUCUCUGAUGUCACUGGAAUACAAGCAAAAAAGUUGUUUGUAUGGGUAUCUGUAACUGGGAUUAGUGUUGAUGAAGAGUCUCAGAUGAUUGAAUUUCAUGUUGGAUUUUUGUCUGAAAAGUUACCAGCUAAGGAAUUUGAAAAUAUUCCUACUUGUACUAAUAAGAUUAAGGGCUGCCAAGAUUCUGCCUUUGCUUCAAUAUGAUGAGGACAAAUGGAGCUCUGAGGUACUGUUAUGCGUCUUGUGAAGAAUGAAAUGUCGCCUUUUGCUUGAUAAAUAGUCAGUAUUUGGAGUCUUAUGAAAUUCUUCCUUAACAUAAACAGAAGAAGGGACUUCUAUCUUUGGUGGCUGUUCUUCUUGGUUCAAUAUUUCCUUCUCAAUUCUCACACAUCUAUAAACAAAUGAAAUAGCACAUUUCUAUUUAUAAUAAUCUUUUGAUCACUGAUCACAAAUCUAUAAACAAAU